rfam:Chlorocebus sabaeus isolate 1994-021 chromosome 5, whole genome shotgun sequence.
CCUGCAGGCAGAAGCGGGGCUGACGGGGCAGAGGGUUCCGCCCCCUCACCACCCCUCCUGCCUGCAG